GCCAGGCGUGGUGGUGGGUGCCUGUAAUCCCAGCUACUCAAGAGGCUGAGGCAGGAGAAUUGCUUGAAUCCAGGAAGCUGAGGUUGCAGUGGGCCGAGAUUUGCCACUGCACUCCAGCCUGGGUGACAGAGCAAGACUCUGUCUCAA
ensembl:misc_RNA Metazoa_SRP Metazoan signal recognition particle RNA